UCGCCUGCCAAGAGAAGGAGGGGCACGGUAGUGGAUUCUACACCCUCUUCUUGUUUCUCUACUAACUGCACUAUGCUUCAGAACCCUGUAAAAGGGCAGAGUCGGAGGGGAAGUGCCCCUGAGGACAACUGGGACGUUAUAGGGUUGUAGAAACUGGUGCCUUGGAUAUAGAAGAAGGAGGGCAGUCCGAAGUCUCUUGCUGGCCGCCUUCGGCACCAACUGGGCGGCUCAGAACUCCAUCCCAAAGUUCAGAGUUGGGCCAUGGCUCCUUUGGGUCUCCCCAGUCCACACCUGCAGGUCUCCAGCCAGCUGAGAGGCAGGCAAGGGGAGACUCCACAUGCAGAGGAGGCAGCUGGGUCCAGAAUGGCACCAGGACCAAUCCAGGGGCCCAUGAAGAGGGCUCUGGCCUAGGAGUCCUGGGCCGAGCUCUGCCCCAUCCUGCUGAGAGGAGACAUGAGGAAAGUCUGCGUCAUCAUCGUCGUCUGGGACUGCUGCACACAGCACUCCUCCAGCGGUCAAGGCAGAAGGAAAAUGUCAAUCCCAGCCCCAGAAUUCAUCCUUUUCCACUCUGGGCCCCAGAAACUUCUUGAAGUAGUGCCUCUCUGUCAGAGUGAAGGAGCCAGCAAGGGACCUUGGACAAGCUUACUGCUUUCCUCUGAGCCUCAUUUUCAACAUCUAUCAGCCAGGCAAGAAAUCCCUCCAAUUCCCCAGCCCCAGGAGAUCCAGAUGGACAUGGGACAGUUUUGAAGAUAAAUAAAACCU